rnacentral:rRNA from 1 species
UACGUAGGGCGCAAGCGUUGUCCGGAAUUAUUGGGCGUAAAGAGCUCGUAGGCGGUUCGGUAAGUCUGUCGUGAAAUCCUGAGGCUCAACCUCGGGCGUGCGAUGGAUACUGCCGGGCUAGAGGGUGGUAGAGGCGAGUGGAAUUCCCGGUGUAGCGGUGAAAUGCGCAGAUAUCGGGAGGAACACCAGUAGCGAAGGCGGCUCGCUGGGCCACACCUGACGCUGAGACGCGAAAGCUAGGGGAGCGAACAGG